rfam:Haemonchus contortus, ISE/inbred ISE, WGS project CAVP01000000 data, contig: Hcontortus_40384
GGCCCAAAUUUGAAAUAGAGUGGAUUAGGAGGACCAUCUGACCCUACUUAACUACACUAAUUCGAGUUUGUGCCC